rnacentral:rRNA from 1 species
GCAGCAGUAGGGAUCUUCCGCAAUGGGCGAAAGCCUGACGGAGCAACGCCGCGUGAGUGAUGAAGGGUUUCGGCUCGUAAAACUCUGUUAUUAGGGAAGAACAAAUGUGUAAGUAACUGUGCACAUCUUGACGGUACCUAAUCAGAAAGCCACGGCUAACUACGUGCCAGCAGCCGCGGUAAUACGUAGGUGGCAAGCGUUAUCCGGAAUUAUUGGGCGUAAAGCGCGCGUAGGCGGUUUCUUAAGUCUGAUGUGAAAGCCCACGGCUCAACCGUGGAGGGUCAUUGGAAACUGGGAAACUUGAGUGCAGAAGAGGAAAGUGGAAUUCCAUGUGUAGCGGUGAAAUGCGCAGAGAUAUGGAGGAACACCAGUGGCGAAGGCGACUUUCUGGUCUGUAACUGACGCUGAUGUGCGAAAGCGUGGGGAUCAAACAGGAUUAGAUACCCUGGUAGUCCACGCCGUAAACGAUGAGUGCUAAGUGUUAGGGGGUUUCCGCCCCUUAGUGCUGCAGCUAACGCAUUAAGCACUCCGCCUGGGGAGUACGACCGCAAGGUUGAAACUCAAAGGAAUUGACGGGCCUAUU